UAUAUAAAAGAUAUAAUAGGGCUAAAAUUUUUAAUCCGGCUUAAUUAUUUUGAGCGGUGACUAAACCCAAGAUGGUAAAAGAGUUAAGCGUGUUAGGUCGAGAAUUGUCAUAAGAUGGGUGACUCACUGGGAAGUUGGGGCAUUAUAGUUGGUAUCAUAACUAAUUACCAGUUGGAAGAGAAUUAUACAGUAGAAAGAGCGAGACUCUUAUAUUAAUAUUGACUGUUGUGGGUGGAGCGCAACUCCCCAUAUGAUUGAUUUAGACUAAUAAGACGAGUCUCACAUCGUCUAAUACUUAUGAGUCUAAACCUGACGAUAAACGUUAGAGAUUAAGGGAGGAGGAUGUGAGAUCCCAAAUAAUUUUAUAUAUAAAAAAUAAUAUGACUAAAAUUCUUAAUCCGAUUUAAAUAUUUUAGGCAUGAAUAGACUCAAAAGGUUAAUAAAGUUAAGCGUGUUAGGACGAAACUAGUCCUAGGAUGGAUGACCUCUGAAAAGUUGGGCAUCACGUGGUGUUUCCAAAUUAAUCAAAAAAAUUUUCUAAAAUUCACCAGUUCCAUCAUUACUUUUAUUAUAUUUUUAAAAAUAUAUAUACAAUUAAUUAGAAAUAAAUAAUAUAAUAUAA
rnacentral:lncRNA from 1 species